rnacentral:pre_miRNA from 1 species
GAUUUCAACUGAAAAAGUCAUCAACAAUAAAGUUAUAUAACUCAUCAAGAUCUAUAACUUUUAUUUUGGUUGUUUCUUCAUUCGACAAAGUGAUAGUAAUAUUGUUCAUAAAAUUUACAUGUCUCUCAUAUAUUUUUAUAAACUAUAAGAGACAUGUAAACUUUAUGAACAAUGUUACUAUCACUUUAUCAGAUGAAGAAAUGACUAAAAUAAAAGUUAUAUGUCUUGAUGAGCUCUGCAACUUUUAUGUUCAUGACUUUUUCAGCUGAAAUU